UGUGUGUGUGUGUGUGUGUGUGUGUGUGUGUGUGUGUGUGUGUAGGCUGAUGCCUUGAGAGUCCUGUCUUACAUUUCGUGUUUCCUUUUCUUAAGGACAUCUCUACCCUGUUCAAAAAAGGAAGAGUUCACAGGCAUAGACACACUCCCCAGCUUCCCACGACCUUCCCGCCAGUCUUGCUGCAGAAAGCCCACCUCUCCAGGGACUCUCAUUGGAGCUAUGCAUAACCCAGGGCACAACUUGCAUUGACGUCUCCUGCGAUGGAGCAGCCAAAAAUCGCUGCCCUAGUGGGGUCUGGAGUUCUUGGCUUUUCACCUCCCUCCCGACAGCCCUGGAACUGAAUGGAAUUAUAUUAUCCUCCACCACGUGACGACAGGAAUGUGAAGCACUCACCCCUCCGCCCUUCCCAAGGAUGUCAAGCUCAGCUGCAGGCAAUGUCCGCCUGCAGUGUAACAGGAAUCAGAAGACUAGGAAUACAUGAGGAAGCAUGAUCUGAACCUCUGUGGUUCUCACUGACGACUAAGGCUGGAAGAAAAGGGAAGACUGGGAUACCUACAAUGCUGAGAGCCCCGAGAUGACAGCCUCUGACAAGAUAAAGGACAAGGUAGCCACAAUGACCCACAGCAAUCUCAAAAUAUUGCUAUGUUUCCUUACCUGGCAAUUCAAAGGAUGUUUCCUUUUCUAUUUCUUUGUAUCAUGUGAAUUACUUCAGUUCACUUUGAAUUACUUCAGAGACUUUGAUGAGAUCCCCAACAAUAAAUUACUUU